rnacentral:rRNA from 1 species
AUGGCCGGGGUAGAACCGGCGGCGAUGGCGAGCGGCGCUGUGGCUCUGAUCCGGAUAUUCUCCACCCCGAACCUCUUGUGCCGUUCAGGAUCUAUUUCCUAUAUGACCUGGGCGCAAACCCUAUGUGUCGGCACGAACGCAAUAUGGCCCGACGUAGCAGCCGCGGGUGGUGGCCACCGAGGUCGUUCUCUCAACCCCGUCCACGCUGGCGUGCCGCUAUGGGCGCGCCUUAGCGCCGAGGACAUCUUGUGCAUCAAGCGGCUCGGCGACGCCUAUAGCCACGGCCUGCUCGGCGACUGGACCAAGGCACCGCCGGGGCGCUCCAUCUUCGUCGACCCUGAGUUUUCUGCUCCGUCUGAUCUGUCCUACUCCUUGCAGAGCACUGCCAAUGUUCCCUCCUGA